rnacentral:pre_miRNA from 1 species
AACUUCUUGAAUCCGUGAUCAGAUUUCGUCAGACACCAACCCAUUAGGGCUGAUCAGACUUCCAAUAUAAGUGAGGUU